AUUGAACGCUGGCGGCAGGCCUAACACAUGCAAGUCGAACGAGUGGCGGACGGGUGCGUAAUGUCUGGGAAACUUCCUGAUGGAGGGGGAUCACUACUGGAAACGGUAGCUAAUACCGCCUACCAUCGGAUGUGCCCAGAUGGGAUUAGCUAGUAGGUGGGGUAAAGGCUCACCUAGGCGGCGAUCCCUAGCUGGUCUGAGAGGAUGACCAGACAAACUGGAAGUGAGACACGGUCCAGACUCCUACGGGAGGAAGAAGUGGGGAAUAUUGCACAAUGGGCGCAAGGCGGAUGCAGCCAGGCCGCGAGUAUGAAGAAGGCAAUCGGGUUGGAAAGUACUUUCAGCGGGGAGGCGUUACCCGCAGAAGAAGCACCAGCAAACUCCGUGCCAGCAGCCGCGGUAAUUC
rnacentral:rRNA from 1 species